CUGGGUUGGAUGAGUGGCGAACGGGUGAGUAACACGUGAGUAACCUGCCCUCUUCUUUGGGAUAACGGUCGGAAACGGCUGCUAAUACCAGGUAUUCACUGUCCUUCGCAUGGGGGGUGGGUGGAAAGGUUUUUUCUGGUGGGGGAUGGGCUCGCGGCCUAUCAGCUUGUUGGUGGGGUGAUGGCUUACCAAGGCUUUGACGGGUAACCGGCCUGAGAGGGUGACCGGUCACAUUGGGACUGAGAUACGGCCCAG
rnacentral:rRNA from 1 species